GCCAUUCCAUAAGCUGGUCUAUAUGCUGUUGAUAGAGAUCCAGAGUUCCAUCACAUUUCUGCAUCAGAGCUAGGGAAGAGUUGUGGAGAAGAGAGAGAGAAAAAUUUGGAACAAAAGUUUUGCAAGACCACUGGGCAAUGGCUGAAUAAACUGUGGAAUACGAAUGUGAAUGAUGAAUAUGAACUUAUAAGAAAUGAAGAGACAAUUUCAAAGAAUUCUGGGUAGCGUAUGAACUGACACAGAAUGAAGACAGCAAAACCAGAACAAUAUAUACAAAGACAGUGACAUCGUAAAGACAAACACCUUUAAAAAAAAAAAAAAAAAAAAAAAAAAAAAAAAAGACAAACACCUUUGAAAAACUCAAGAACUCUGAACAAAGCCAACCAUUUAUUCAGAGCAACCACAAUGAAGUAUGCCCCUUACCUCUUAUAAUGGACACAAGGAGCAGAAAGAUAAUUAUUUUGGUUCAUGGCCACCAUGCAAAUUUUGUUUCCCUUAAUAUGCUUAUUUGUUAUAAGAGAUUUAUUUAAUUCAUUUUUUCUUUUUCUUGAUUAACUGGAAAGUGGGAAGAAGGAAAGGCUAGAAAUAACAAUGCCUGAAAUGUUUUUCCUAUUUCAGUUAAGAAUAAAAAAGUGAAGAAAAAGAUAAAUCUACACAAAUUCAAAAUACUUUGUGGGACAGUAUCGUAUUAUGCAGCAUUUUCACUCAGAAUUUGGAACACAGAACUAGAGGAAAGAAAUUAUCAUUUUUGAAGGAUGUGGGCACAAACUUCUUCCCACUAAUAAAAAAAAAAAAGCCUUCAAACUAAACAACACAUACCAUUUAUUAAAAAUUCUUCACCUGAGUAACAUUAAACAACAGAUUCACCAAAUUGAUUUUUUUCCCUUUAUUCAGCUUUCACCUC